rnacentral:lncRNA from 1 species
GCUGCCUAAAAGUUUCCAGAUAUAUUACUCAAUUUUCAGAUUAAAAGUCGGGUGUUAACUCAGAAGUUGGUUCUCAGCUUUCCCUAUGCACAAAAACAAAACAAAAUAGAUACAAAAAAAUGAAAAACAACAGCAAAAAAUUCACUGUUCCAUUGAUUUUGGAUAGGUUAUAGAUUUUUCUUUGAGAUUCUGCCUUACAUCUUGUUCUGAGGUUUAUUUCGAGUUGAUCUGGGUUUAGUCCUGCUGGUUUAUGUUGUUUUUGUUGGUGGGUUUUCAAGCUCCUGAGUGGUUUCAAGCCAUUUGGGACUUAUUUGAUCGAUUCUAAUCAUUUCUAGGGUAUUUUGAUUCAUUGCUAAGUUACUAGGUCAUUUCUGCUGCUGAAAGAUAUUCGUUAAUGCUGUUAAUCCUUCUUCUCUUUUUUGUUCUUCAAUCUCCAGGUACGUUUUGAAUCUCAACUGUAAUUUCGAGCUUUAAAAAUGAAAUAAACUGUUGUUUGUUUGGAUCCCGAAGAAUGAUUGUUGAACUAUUCGUACUGGCAGUUAGACAGAUAUCAAAAAUGUAAAUUCUUAUCUUAGAUAAAUAUCAAUUUGUAUAUGUUGCAUUUUGGACAGUUUUUGUAGCCCAUGAAAUGUUGGGGCUGUAAUUUAGCAUAACAUUUUGUUAACUUGUAAAAAUGGAUUGUUGGACGUUAUUAGGACUGGUAGGGUUUCGUCUAGGGUGGUUUAGUUAGUUAUUAAUGGGC